AGAGCAGGAGGCCAGAGGCAGCGCCGCCCCGUCUCCUUCCCCUCCGGACACAGGGAGGGGCUGCUCUGUGGACGUAGCUCUAGGGGCAAGCGCGUCGGAAAAGGAACCGGAAGUGGCGCUGCCAAACGCGCCGGAAGUGGCCAGACAGGGAAAGGAGGAGGAGGGGCGUCGCUGAAAAUCCCCCCCCGUGGCCGCCGCCCUUUCUCUUGCAGACAAGGAAAGCGGAAUAAUCCGGAGCCAGGGAGGCGGAGGACCAAGAGGCAGCCAGGCUGAAUAGUUGCUGGAGCUGGGGAAGGUGGAGGCAGCCCAGAAACUGCAUCUGAGAGCCCCUGCACCACUUGAAGGCGGCCAGUUGCUCCUCAGCGGAGCUUCCCGCUGCCGCUCCUACUUGUGUGCAAGGAGGAGUGGAGGCAGGGAUCUCUCAUCGCAAAGCCUCCACUUCUGAGAGAUCUCCGCCCUGCUCCUGAACAGGGCUGCCUUCAGAGGUCUUCCAAAAGAGAUUGAGACCUUUGUUGCAACAAAUAAAGGAUCAGGCCUUCUGGCCACAGAUUUGCUUCCUCAUUGCUUGCCUGCCGCCUCGCGUUUUCUGAUCAAUCCAGCAUCCGCAGGGCUAGACUCCAGCAAAGUUGGAAAGCACUUUAAGAAAACAAAAAGGAUUUUCUCCCCACCCCAUCGAAAGAAGACAAUGGAGAAGGCAAUCAGAAUUCUGGAGGGCCAUGUCUAAUGGGAAUAAUGAAGAAGACAUUUAAAUACAUGGAGUGUGAAAACAGAGAACAUAAACAAUUUGAAAGUAUGGAGUGUGGAAGGAGCUUCACUGACAGUGGAAACCUUAGAAAACACCAAUGGAGUGACACAGGGGAGAAAUCAUUUAAAUGUAUGGAGUG